GGCUAGCGCGUGGCAGGCAGCCGUGGUAAAAAGGGGGGUCCGGUGGUUAAGGGGAAUUAAUGGGAGUAAGGGGUGGGCAGGCGGUUUGUUAGGCGAGAGGUGAAAGCCCUGGGCUCAACCUAGGAAUAGCAUUUCGAACUGGCGAACUAGAGUCUUGUAGAGGGGGGUAGAAUUCCAGGUGUAGCGGUGAAAUGCGUAGAGAUCUGGAGGAAUACCGGUGGCGAAGGCGGCCCCCUGGACAAAGACUGACGCUCAUGCACGAAAGCGUGGGGAGCAAACAGGAUUAGAUACCCAGUAGUC
rnacentral:rRNA from 1 species